UAGGGAAUCUUCCACAAUGGACGAAAGUCUGAUGGAGCAACGCCGCGUGAGUGAAGAAGGGUUUCGGCUCGUAAAACUCUGUUGUUAAAGAAGAACGUGGGUAAGAGUAACUGUUUACCCAGUGACGGUAUUUAACCAGAAAGCCACGGCUAACUACGUACCAG
rnacentral:rRNA from 1 species